rnacentral:rRNA from 1 species
GGGGCUAAAACUUACUACCGAAGCUACGGCAUCAGUAAUGAUGGGUAGGGGAGCUUCCCAUACGGGUUGAAGCAUGACCGUAGGACAUGUGGACAGUAUGGGAGUGAGAAUGUUGGCAUGAGUAGCGAGAUGUGGGUGAGAAUCCCACAGGCCGUAAACCCAAGGUUUCCAGGGGAAGGUUCGUCCGCCCUGGGUUAGUCGGGACCUAAGCUGAGGCCGAAAGGCGUAGGUGAUGGACAACAGGUUGAUAUUCCUGUACUACCGAUAACCGUUUGAGAGAAGGGAUGACACAGUAGGAUAAGCUAAGCACACUGUUGGUCAUGUGUGCCCAAGCAUUGAGGCAGUCAAAGUAGGCAAAUCCGCUUUGAUAAUGCUGGGAUGUGAUGGGGAGCGAAAUUUAGUAGCGAAGUAGCUGAUUUCACACUGUCAAGAAAAGUCUCUAUCGAGGUUAAAGGUACCCGUACCGCAAACCGACACAGGUGGGUGAGGAGAGUAUCCUAAGGCCAGCGAGAGAACUGUUGUUAAGGAACUCGGCAAAAUGACCCCGUAACUUAGGGAUAAGGGGUGCCACCAUCAGGUGGCCGCAGAGAAUAGGCCCAAGCGACUGUUUACCAAAAACAUAGGUUUCUGCUAAGUCGCAAGACGAUGUAUAGGAGCUGACGCCUGCCCGGUGCUGGAAGGUUAAGGGGAUCUGUUAGAGCAAUCGAAGCAGUGAACUUAAGCCCCAGUAAACGGCGGCCGUAACUAUAACGGUCCUAAGGUAGCGAAAUUCCUUGUCGGGUAAGUUCCGACCCGCACGAAAGGCGUAACGAUUUGGGCACUGUCUCAACAACAGACUCGGUGAAAUUGUAAUUCCGGUGAAGAUGCCGGAUACCUGCGACAGGACGGAAAGACCCCAUGGAGCUUUACUGUAGCUUGACAUUGGGUCUUGGUACUACAUGUACAGGAUAGGUGGGAGGCUUUGAAACCAGGACGCCAGUUUUGGCGGAGCCAUCCUUGGGAUACCACCCUUGUAGUACUGGGACUCUAACCAUAGGCCAUGAAUCUGGUCUUGGGACACUGUCAGGUGGGCAGUUUGACUGGGGCGGUCGCCUCCCAAAAGGUAACGGAGGCGCUCAAAGGUUCUCUCAGUACGGUCGGAAAUCGUACGUAGAGUGUAAAGGCAAAAGAGAGCUUGAUUGCAAGACAUACAGGUCGAGCAAGGAUGAAAAUCGGACUUAGUGAUCCGGUGGUUCUGCGUGGAAGGGCCAUCGCUCAACGGAUAAAAGCUACCCUGGGGAUAACAGGCUUAUCUCCCCCAAGAGUCCACAUCGACGGGAGGUUUGGCACCUCGAUGUCGGCUCAUCACAUCCUGGGGCUGUAGUAGGUCCCAAGGGUUGGGCUGUUCGCCCAUUAAAGUGGUACGCGAGCUGGGUUCAGAACGUCGUGAGACAGUUCGGUCCCUAUCCGUCGCAGGCGUAGGAAAUUUGAGAAGACCUGUCCUUAGUACGAGAGGACCGGGAUGGACGUACCUCUGGUGUACCAGUUGUUCUGCCAAGGGCAUGGCUGGGUAGCUAUGUACGGAAUGGAUAAGCGCUGAAAGCAUCUAAGCGCGAAGCCAACUUCAAGAUAAGAUUUCCCACCGCAAGGGUAAGACCCCAGAAAGACUAUCUGGUUGAUAGGUCGAAGGUGUAAGUGCAGCAAUGUAUUUAGCUUAUCGAUACUAAUAGGUCGAGGACUUGACCAA